CUCUAUAUAUCUAAGUUUAAGAGCUGGGUUCUUACCUCAGUAAUGUGCUAAGCACUAUAGAGU
rnacentral:tRNA from 2 species